GUCACAAGAGACAAACAAAUUGCUCAUUGAAACAGGCAGUUGAAGGUUUCUCUUAUUUCUCUUUCUUUCUUUCUUGGUUUCCAUGCCAAUGGCCUUGGUAGAAAAUUCUUUCAGUGGUAAACAUGGAUCCUCUUAUCAAACUUCUCUCUGGCUCACAGAAGUAGCUGUAAAACCUCUUCCACACGGAUGGAUGGAUGGAUGGAUGGAUGGAUGGAUGGAUGGAUGUCCCAUUCUCCUCAUGGCAUCAUUGUUGUAGCAGGACAUCAGCAUAUUCCUGCACUGAGGGGUUUAAGCUAAAAUGAGCUGCAAAGUGCUGCAAAUCUGUACUGAAUUCAUCUUUGAGGCAAUACAGGAAUGAUCUGGAGCUCCUUGAAGCCAUAGAAAAUGCUGCCUUUGGCUUCAGCAGAUUUGGCUGAGACCCUGAGAGCUGGAGCAGCUCAGCUCCUUUGUGUGGUUCUUAACAAGUAAAGCUGAAAUGAGAGAACCUGCUGGUGCUGGAGAUGGAAGGUGCUAUUUAAACAGAGAGAGAAUCUCCUUUCUCUUUGCCUUUUAGGCUCUGAUUUCUGAUGGUCACUAUAGCAACAGGAAGCAAAGAGAUGAAGAACUGGAAAACAUGCACUUCACUAUGACAAGUUCAAUUUACAGCCAGCUCAGCAAGGAAACCUUUCUUGACUCCACGUUCAGGUGUUGGAGGAUGUGGAGCUGUUGGUGCCUGAGAUCUGAGCACAGCCCAAAUGAGGCAACACAAAGCCCCAGGACAUUGUUUUCCAGACCAAGAACUGAUGCUUUUGGCUGCUGCAGAAGCUCCCCCAUCUCGUCUGAAGCUGCUGAAAAGAUAAUGCCACACCUCCUGCAGUUCAGCAUCCCAAGGAGUGCAGGAUUUGGGAGGAUCAGGCAGCAAGGAGCUGGACUCCUCAAAACUUUCUCUUCCCUGAUGGUCAUUUCUGGCUGUCCCAACUAUCCCAGGAGCUGUUUUGAGUUUAAAUUGUCACAAGCUGAGUGA
rnacentral:lncRNA from 1 species